ensembl:miRNA MIR660 microRNA 660
CUGCUCCUUCUCCCGUACCCAUUGCAUAUCGGAGCUGUGAAUUCUCAAAGCACCUCCUAUGUGCAUGGAUUACAGGAGGG